rnacentral:rRNA from 1 species
UGAGGAAUAUUGGUCAAUGGGCGAGAGCCUGAACCAGCCAAGUAGCGUGCAGGAUGACGGCCCUAUGGGUUGUAAACUGCUUUUAUAAGGGAAUAAAGUGAGUCUCGUGAGACUUUUUGCAUGUACCUUAUGAAUAAGGACCGGCUAAUUCCGUGCCAGCAGCCGCGGUAAUACGGAAGGUCCGGGCGUUAUCCGGAUUUAUUGGGUUUAAAGGGAGCGUAGGCCGGAGAUUAAGCGUGUUGUGAAAUGUAGACGCUCAACGUCUGCACUGCAGCGCGAACUGGUUUCCUUGAGUACGCACAAAGUGGGCGGAAUUCGUGGUGUAGCGGUGAAAUGCUUAGAUAUCACGAAGAACUCCGAUUGCGAAGGCAGCUCACUGGAGCGCAACUGACGCUGAAGCUCGAAAGUGCGGGUAUCGAACAGGAUUAGAUACCCUGGUAGUCCGCACGGUAAACGAUGGAUGCCCGCUGUUGGUCUGAACAGGUCAGCGGCCAAGCGAAAGCAUUAAGCAUCCCACCUGGGGAGUACGCCGGCAACGGUGAAACUCAAAGGAAUUGACGGGGGCCCGCACAAGCGGAGGAACAUGUGGUUUAAUUCGAUGAUACGCAAGGAACCUUACCCGGGCUUGAAUUGCAGAGGAAGGAUUUGGAGACAAUGACGCCCUUCGGGGCCUCUGUGAAGGUGCUGCAUGGUUGUCGUCAGCUCGUGCCGUGAGGUGUCGGCUUAAGUGCCAUAACGAGCGCAACCCCUCUCCUUAGUUGCCAUCAGGUCAUGCUGGGCACUCUGGGGACACUGCCACCGUAAGGUGUGAGGAAGGUGGGGAUGACGUCAAAUCAGCACGGCCCUUACGUCCGGGGCUACACACGUGUUACAAUGGCAGGUACAGAGAGACGGUUGUACGUAAGUACGAUCAAAUCCUUAAAGCCUGUCUCAGUUCGGACUGGGGUCUGCAACCCGACCCCACGAAGCUGGAUUCGCUAGUAAUCGCGCAUCAGCCAUGGCGCGGUGAAUACGUUCCC